rnacentral:rRNA from 1 species
GCUAGGAUUCUAACCCUACACCGUUAUCCGGUUAGGGGACAGUUUCAGGUGGUCAGUUUGACUGGGGCGGUCGCCUCCCAAAAGGUAACGGAGGCGUGCAAAGGUUUCCUCAGGCUGGUCGGAAAUCAGUCGUAGAGUGUAAAGGCAUAAGGAAGCUUGAUUGUGAGACCUACAAGUCGAACAAAGACGAAAGUCGGCCUUAGUGAUCCGACGGUUCCGAGUGGAAGGGCCGUCGCUCAACGGAUAAAAGUUACUCUAGGGAUAACAGGCUGAA